UACAGAGGUCUCAAGCGUUGUUCGGAAUUACUGGGCGUAAAGCGUGCGUAGGCGGCGGGGUUAGUCGGGUGUGAAAUCUCAGGGCUUAACCCUGAAAUUGCAUUCGAUACUGCCUCGUUUGAGAACUGAAGAGGAGGUUGGAAUUUACGGUGUAGCAGUGAAAUGCGUAGAUAUCGUAAGGAAGGCCGGUGGCGAAAGCGAACCUCUGGGGAGCUUCUGACGCUGUGGCACGAAGGCUAGGGGAGCAAACGGG
rnacentral:rRNA from 1 species